ensembl:lncRNA novel transcript
CUGCUUACAGCUGCUUCCAAAUUAAGCAUAUCUGGAUGGUGUGACACUUUUUGUUAGUCCGAGAACUGUAUGGGCAUCGCAACUGGGCCUGUUCCAAGAUAGACUUGUUGGGACCUUCAAAUCAUGUACCUUACAGGAGGACAGGGUUCCUCCGUGUGUGGGAGUCAUCGUUCAUUCAUUCAUUCGCUUUCACUGAACAUUUGUUAAACAUAUAUUUUUGAACCAGAGUACUAGGAUUUUUAGGUACCACAUUAUAACAAGAUGAAUUCCAUGCAAGUUAAUGUGAAGGAAUUCACAACCUGAUAGAUGAGACAAAUAUAAACAAAAAAAAUUUACAGUGUAGAAAUGAUAGGGGAGUGCUGGGAAGGGAAGAGCGUGGUCCCUUUAAAUGAUAGGGAUGGGCGAAGUGAAGUGCUGGGUAGAGGAGUGUGUGGUCCCUUGCUAGGGCUCCACGCCCACCGACCUAGGUGAGGACUGACACUCCUGCCUUCCAGCCCAAAUGUUGCAUUUCCCAAGACCACCCUGGCCUGCCACUCCCCCAUACUGUGCCUAUGAAAACCCCAGACCCUAGCAGGCAGGUACACAGGCAGCCAGACGUCCAGAGGAGCAUAAGGGUGGAAGAAGAGGAGCUCGCUGGCACAUCCGCAGGCCAUUCACGGGCAGAACGAUGCGGAGGUUGGCCUGGGCAGUCGGAAAAGAGCCCGGGCCGCCAAGCGGCCUAACUCCAGAGGAAAACCAUUUCCCUUCUGGGUCCCUCAUCUGCUGAGGGCUACUUCCACUCAAUAAAACUUUGCACUCAUUCUCCAAGCCCACGUGUGAUCCAAUUCUUCUGGUACACCAAGGCAAGAACCCAGGAUACAGAAAGCUCGCUGUCUGUGCGACAAGGUAGAGGGUCUAAUUGAGCUGGUUAACACAAGCCCCCUAAAGGCAAACUGAAAGAGCAUCCUGUAACACACACCCACUGGGGCUUCAGGAGCUGUAAACAUUCACCCCCAGACUCUGUCAAGGGGUCGGAGCCCCACAGCCUGCCGGUCUGUAUGCUUCUCUAGAGGUCUGAGCAGCGGGGCACUGAAGAAGCGAGCCACACCCCCAAUGCACGCCCUGUGAGGGGGACAAGGGAACCUCUCCCAUUUCAGAAAGACAAAGGUCACAGAAACUGAAAACUACAUCCCUGAGAGUUUUAUGAAAAAUUUUCAGACCUUCUCAAAAAUGUAGUGAAAGAAUACAUUCCUAACCCUUUGAUUACUCAAUCGCCCAAGUCUUCGACGCUUCUCAGGACUCUGUCCUCAGCCAUCUUCUCUUUCUCAUCCACCCAUUUUUCAGUAAUUUCAUCCACUUACAUAACUUUAACCAUCAACUAAACAAAGAUAGCUUACAAAACUAGUUGUAAGAUCUCUUCCCUUAAACUAAAUAUAUCCAAAUGCCUAUACAUUUCUACCAAUAUCUAUCCCUCAAAUCACUUAAGGCACAUGUCUAAAACUGAACUCAGCACUGAAGAUGAUAGAUUGGAGAAGGGAGAGACUUAAGGUAGUUAUUCCAAUAACAUAAAAGGAGAGAUCAAAAACGGUGACACCACCAAACGCUGGUGAGGAUGUACAGAAACUGGAUCACUUAUAUGUUGGUGGUAACAUGUACAGUGAUACAGCCUUUCUGAAAACAAUUGGGCAGUUUCUUUAAAAAACUGAAUAUGCAACUACCAUAUGACACAGCAAUUGCACUCCAGAGCAUUGGUCCUAGACAAAUGAAGACUUGUGCUCAUAAAAAAAACCUUGUGAGUGUAUAUGCAGCUUUAUUCAUCAUAACCCAAAUCUGGAAACAAUCCAGAUAUCCUUCAGUGGGUGAAUGGUUAAAUAAACAUGGUACAUCUAUACCAUGGGAUACUACUGAGCAACAAAAAAAAAGAUACAUGUAGCAACCUUGAUGAAUCUUCUGAGAAUUACGCUGAGGGAAAGAAGCCAAUCCCAAAGGUUGCAUCUUGUCAAAUGCCAUUUAUAUAACAUUCUUAAAAUUUAAAAAAUAUAGAAGGAUCCAUGGUUGCUAAGGGUUAAAGUGGAGGUGGUGGCAAGGGGGAAGUGGGUGUGACUGUAGAAGGGCAAUAUGAGGAAUUCUGAUGAUGGAAAUGUUCGUUUCUUGACUGUAUCAAUGUCCAUAUCCCAGUUGUGAUGUUGUACUAUAGUUUUACAAGAUGUUACUGUUGAAGGAAACUGGAAAAAUCGUACAUAGGAUCUAUCUGUAUCAUUUCUUACAACUUCAUGUGAAUCUACAAUUAUAUCAAAAUAAAAAUUUUACCCAA